AUGAGCACAUGAUUUAAAGACAAUCACGACAUCCACGUUUAAUCAAAAGUACGCAAAAACAUCGCACACCGUAAACGCUGUUUGUGCUGCUGCUAGCUUUAUCGCCCGAUAACCUUUUGUUUACUUCCUGCAUCAUUAACAAAACACCGUGCAAAUUUGGCCGCGAUGAUAAGAAACCUCUGCUCUGCACGUUCCUGGUCUCGUUUUGAAAUACAAUCUGGACAGAGCGAAAACAACGAAAUUCGUUGAAGAAUGAGCCUGCAGAAAAAAAAAAUCCAGCGGGCAGAUUUAAAUGCACAUAUACCGGACGGUAAUCGUUCAAUAAUCAUUUCCUGUGUUGAAAACGCAGCAAACAAUGUACGAGAGCGCUCUGUACCGUCGUGUGUUUGAGACACUCGGACGGAUUUUCGCUUCCUGAGAGAAAAAAAACAGAGAAGAAGCAAUACACACACGUGAGCGACGAGAUUAAGAUGAAGCACUUUGGAACACUUGCAGGCUUGCUUUCUUCGUCAUCAUCGUCCAACAAAAUCCACCUUUAUCGGUGCGAACGCGAAGGCAGGCAGAACCAGUGAUAGUGACACACGGCCCUCUGUUAAUGGGCGUUUGGGAAGGCGUUUGGAGUACGCGCUUCCCGUCUUAUCUGCUUCGGCGUACGGGCUCGUACCCAAAAACAUCUUGCUUUGCAGCAAGACCGAAGCACCGAAACAGUGGUCUAAAAAUAAGCAAACAAAUCUCCACGCAAACCGGCCGGUGGGCCACAUCAAGCGUUGGACAAAGUUUGUUUGUUUGUUUGAUGUUUUCCUUAUCAGCGUACAGUCCCUCCGCCACUACGCUCCAAGGACGUACACUUUCGGCGAAUUCGGUAUCAGGAAACACGCACACACACGUGGUGGUAAAGGUUCAAAUCGAGGGAUGUCGUUCAGGGUCAAUUCAUGAAACUGGUUAGAUGGUUUAUGGUUUGAUGAAAGGUGUCUUAUCGCUUCACUUUCGAACAAACAGCGCAUCCUGCGUUACACGUCGGCUGAUGUCUAGCUAGAAUUAGCCUCUGAGUUCAGGCGUGAGGGCAACAAAAAAAGCCAAGAAACAAACACCCAGACCAUAGGAAUGAUCAAGAAAUUGCGUCUCAUUUUAAUCGUGCGACGCCCAGUAAAGAUCCAGCAGCAGCAGCAGUGGUUUCAGGUUUCGGACCUCGGAUUGAGUGUCUCUUCGAAGGAAACUAAUUUCUUCGCCGACUCCUCCGGGCCCGGCAGGCACCGCUGGGGAAGUUCUCGUGAACGUGAAGAUACAUAUCUCGUAACCAAUUUACGAACGAGGUGCUGCUGCUGCUGCUGCUGCUGCUGCCAACUUUUCCAGGUCACCUUAACCUCCUCUGAAAACUACCUCCAACCUACCUAAACCUACCACCCCGCCCAGCACUUGCCACACAGAUCGGUUCGGACCGACGCGGGGCACUCGCGUUCGCAACCAAAACCGUCCACCGUCGCGCAGGUACGGGUGAAGCAGAAGACAACGGAAAAAAUGGACCACAGCAUCGCGAAUGGAAGGGCAAACUGUACACACACACAAAGAAAAAAAGAAAAAGACCAGGAAAACUACGGUAACUGCCUGCUAGAUGUAGAUUGGUAGAUAGUCUGGAAGGGAAAGGCAGUAUUACUGUGGAGGGCGUAAUGCGUGGAGUGGGUGAUCGCUCUUUUUUUACGAAAUGGCUGAUCGCACGUGAUUCGGACGGCGAGGAUCGUGAUCGUGUUCAACGCUGGGCUGGCCGCCACUUUUUACAGCACCACUAAGCGAGACCCCGAGGGCACCCGGUCCGUUGUAGGUGCUAUUUGCAAACUACUGCUUCAAAUCCGUACCAACUAGCUACCGGUUCUGGUUCAAAGAUGCUGCUAACAUACAACGAGGUUAGAUUGUGGCUUGCGAGGUGGGGAGGAGGUCCCUCUGUAAGGAGGCUGAAUCACGCAGAUCACAUGACUCAACCCGGGACGCACCGGAGAAACAGUAGCUGACUUUUAUUAGCCUGUCUGCCGGGAAAGCAUGUGCACCGGGGGAGGUAUUAAGCGGCAAAAGAUCGUGCCCGCUAAAUGACAAACUUCUCACAUGGGGCAUGUUUUCAUACGCCGGUUGUCUUUUAUUUUUGUAGCAGGUUAGUCACAGGGACACAGCUUUUAGGGGCGGAAUUGAUGCACUGGGAGGCAAAAAUGAUAGGAGCAAGUUUUAAUUGCAGCCACCGGAUGCUGUGACGUUCAUCACACGAUGAGGAGUGUGUUUCAAGGAUGUAUGAGCUACACUUCCGCCGCUCGGAGAUAGUAUGAUACGGGACUAGCAGUGGAAAAAGUUAAAUGUAUGUUUCACACUAUCUUUGCACGGUGUGCAGAGCAAUUAAGCUAAAUACACAACGCAUUAUAACAAAAAGUGAAAGAUUUUCCUCUAACAUCAGUAUCAAAUCAAUAAACAUAUAGAGUAGAAUCUGAAAAAAGAUAGUAAUAACGUAUUAAAACAACUGUUUUAAUGUUAUUUAAAAAAGAA